GAGAGGGAGAGCGCAGCCAACGGUGGCGUUCACUCGCUACUGAGGAAAGUCCCCCCACCCGCCGAGCACGCAGCCGUACCCAAGUACGGGUGGCGAGAGUCACGGCAAUGGCACAGAAACGAUACGGCCUGCCCUGAGCAAUGAUGCGGCCGAGCCUUAAAAUCAGGCGAAGGAGCGCAUUCAUGCGCAAGUAAUCCGCUGAGCGCUGAAGGGCAGGAUACGGUGAAACGGCGAACCCCUGCGGGUGCAAGUCAGAACAGGGCAGACGGAUUGCUCGGCGUCCGCCCGGGUAUGACGCAUAGCUGAAUGCUGCGAUGAACAGAAGGAGGCUUACUCCUCCCACUC
rnacentral:RNase_P_RNA from 1 species